AUUUGAAAGGUCUCUGGCUUGGAGAAAGAGAGCUAAAAUCAUACACAUAUGUGUGUGUUUGUGUGUGUGUAAUAUAUAUAGCUUUAUGCCUACAUAUAUGUAAGCAGAGAGAAUGAACAACAAACAGAUGUGUUCAGUUUCAAAUCAGGAACUGCUGUCCGCAAUAGAAAUUUUGAGAUCGAUCUUAGCACGCUGUGAGAUAUUCACAGCAGCUGUAUAAAAAUCCCCAGUGGUUAGGGUGCUUGGAUAAAGGGGGUGUUUCUUUCCAAAUAUAACCCCCCCCCACUCAUGUCAGUCAAAUUGUCACCCUUAGUGGGAAUAUCCCCCUGUCUCUGGAAAAGGAGGGGCAGGAUGGGAAUGGAAGCAUUGAGCUGUGCUCAGGGCUCUUUGCUGCAUUUCCGAGGUGGCAAUCUAAUGAGGUUGCUUGAUCCAUGGACUGCCAGAUUCUCCUCCUCCGCCCCGACUCCAGGGCAGAGGGAAGCAAAGGUCAGCACCUCCAGGCCUGGUCAGCACUGGCCUUUGUAUUAGCAUGGGGCUCUCAUUUCAGGAAAACAGCAGGGAGAAGGAAAAUGAAUGCAUUAACUCCUUAACUAGGAGGUUAAGGAAAGUGCUCAAGACUCACCAUCAAAAAGUAUUAUCUUUAUAUAGAUUUCUGUUGGAUUAAAAAUUCACUACCCCUACACUUCAGUUUGUUAUUGAUAAAUAAUAGAUACUUGUGACCAGAAACAAGUAUUAAUAAUAAAUAAGGUUGAUUUGUAGUAAGAACAAAAGAAACUAGAAAAACCAGAACAACAGCAUCAAUAAUUUUAUUGCAUUAAAACAAAACUUUGAUAUUAGUGAAGAAUCAGCCUUUCAAUAAAAAUCCGUGGUGUUCAUUACAUUAAUAUCUAUGGCCACACACCACCACAAAGUUUACUUUAUGCACAUUGUAUGUGCUGGGAGAGAUUUCUAAUCUCCCACUCUCAGUACCUAAGAGCAAGGGUGACAUUCUGUUCUCAAAUUGUGCCCUGGUAUGACUGCCAGGAAAAAGGCAGCUCAUCCUCAGUUGUUCGGCAGAAAGCAAAAAGCUUUAAUCGCUUAGGAUAACAAUUAGGGGCUCCAUGCAGAGAGCCAAUAAUUACUCUAUUUAAUAUCUGAAUAAGAGGCGUCAACGCCUGUUAGAGCAUUAGCUAGCUAGCUAGCCAACCCAUGCUUAUCCACAUGGCUUCCCUGGAGAUAAUCCUGGCCCCAUUGUGUACUCCCAGUUGACUUCAGUGGGGCCAGGCUUCUUCCUCUCUGUUUGACAAACACUUUUUUGAGACUUUGUCUUGUGGAGCUGGGGAGGAGUUCUGUAGUAUGGGACUUCCCCUGCCCUCCCUCCCCCAUGCCACAGUGCUCUCAAGGAAAGCCUAACAAGACAGCAGCUCACCAUAUGAGGGGGCUGAGCUGUAAAGCUCCACAGAUCCAACAACAUUAAAAUAGAUAUGAGGACAGCAUCAAUCCCAGAUUUUGUCUGAGAAGCAAUGGACUUCAACACAGACUGCUCAUGGAAACAUGAUGACAUGGGAAUAGAAAACAUGAUGACUUUUGGCAAUGAGGCAUUGUAGAAAGCUAAGGAAAUCUCAGGAAGAGAUUGUGACUUCUAGUUUGUGCUAAUUACCAUCACCACAAAUGAAAACCACUGUGGUUGGGGGAUGACUCAGAUCAAAUAUUCUCUUCCCUGAAUAAUAUUCUCAGCUUCCGCAGUGGGAUUGCUCUCUCACAAAGCAUGAGUAUAAGGGAUUUAUUUCAUUGGGAUGAUUUCCUCAUUCAGAGCAUAUGGCAUAAUAUUUGCAUGAAAAUUAAGACUAUUAUAAAACUGUGAUUAACUUAAGGCCACUAAGUCAAUAAUACUCAUGAGUUCCUAUAAAAAGAACAAGUUGAUUGAAGACCUUAGCUUUGUUAUCAAAACGUGAAUUAUUUGUCUGAAUGCUAAAAAUAUACUUGACCUGCUGCAACAUUAUAAAUACUUGUUUUCUUAGUUAACUAGGUACUCACAGUCCCUGCGUGUUCUUCUACAGACAAGAGGUCAACAGUUCUUCCAAGGCUAACAGUUCAUCCAGCUAGAAAAGGUAAAGUGCAUCAAGUUUUGGACCAACUGCAUACAAAGGUGACUAGCAUCACAUCCAGACACCUGUCUCCCCAGUCCCGAUGACCAGGUACCUAUUUAUAGCUGGAGUUGAAGGGAGGGCUUUUUGCACAAGUCUGGAGCAGGGGUUGAGUUCACUCUUGUGAAUUUGUAGCAAGACGCUUGAAUUGUUCUGCUUCUGCAGACUGCAAACAAAUACUUUUUUCAAAAGAUGAUUAAGAAGGUUUCUUCCGUAGUUUGGUAGAACUAUAAUAAUACAUGCUGCAUAAUUUAAAUGAAAGAAAACACUUUAGUAAAAAAAAACAGAUUUAACCGUGCUUCCUUUACAUUGUUGGUUCUGGGCACUUUUUUAUUUCUGAAGAGCUAUACCUCAAGAAAUUUCUCCUCAGGAUCACGAUGCCAACUAUUUCCCAUCCUUAGUUUGGAGAAACAUCCAAUUUUUUUGUAAUGGUCUGUAGUUAGUUGAUGCAAGCAGAGUGCUCAUAUCUUCUUUUAUACUUCAAGAGGCAGAUCUGAGAUUAAUGGCAGAUAUGAUGGAUUAUUUCAGUUUUAACGAAAAACAUGCUCUUUGAUCUUUCUAUGCUUUAAGUCAAUUGACUUCAAUGAUCUGUGCUAAGAGACAGAUUUUUGCCAUGUGUUCUCACGUGGUUGUGGGCAUGGGUGGUAACAACUACCAUUGGGAUGAAAAAUUAUAGGUCCUACAAAAAUGGUGGCUUAACCAGUGACGCUUCCCUAUGUCCCCAAAGUGGACACUGCAGUCUUUUCAAAGUACUGAUAUUGAUUUAAUGAUAUUCCCAAAAGUACUACAGGUACAGCAGGGGCUUCUGGAAGGCCAUCCACUGAGUUCUCCUUAAGCAACAAUAAAGGAAGCAAAACCCUACACAGAAGUGUCACUUGCAUUAUAGUUUGCUCAGCUGACAUGAUGGUAAAUGUGACAAUCUUUGUCUAUGUUGACUGCUAAAUUGUGCUUAGCAUUGUGUUAGUCAAUAUAUGUUACGCUUCCUUGUGUAGAUAAGCCAUUAGGGACUAGUUUAUCCAUCCAUACUUAGGGCCUAAUUGUGAUACUUGCCUUAUGUAAGGGCAGUAUGAACCCAUCUAUAUUUCUGAGACAUUGACUCAGAAUCAGCUGCUCCAGUACCCAGCCUGUGUUCUGACUGGCCAUGUUUAAAAACAUGGUCCAGGGUUUCUAGUCAAUAAAGCUCCUCAGCACAUUGGUAGCAUUACUAGCAUCACGAACAGUGAGCAUAGGGCAAGGCAGGAAGGAAGUGAUGUUUUCAACCCAGAAUAAGGAGACUCUAACAAGCUUUGUGCUGCUGCAUGGGAAGAGGGGUUUUUGUUGCUGCCUGGAUGAAUCUGCCAGAGGUUUUUUUCUUGCUUUUGCAGGAGCUGGGGAACCCAUCCCUUUAUUACCUUUUUCUCUCUUCAUCCCCUUCCUUUUUCCUCCCAUGUAAGGAGGAUUUCCCUGCCCCCCUGCCCCCCGCCCUCCUAGCCAACUGAUAGUUAUAGUACAAUUUCUUUAUCUUUCCUUCCUCUGAAACAUCAGGUGUUGGACAAUGCCUGAGGCAGCAAACAGGAUUUGAUGGACAUCCUGGGACUAACCAGGUCUGACUUGGUUACUCCUAUAUUUUCCCCAUUCAUCCCAUUUUGUUUCCUUCUCUACUGGAUUUCUUAGCCUUUAUUUUUUUCCCCUAUUGGAUGCCAGAGGCCUAAUCUUGCUAUUUCCUUCUGCACUUAAAGGUCCCAUUGACUUCAGCAGGAGCAUUUGAUGUAUGAAGAAUACAGCCUGGCCUUUGCAUUGAAAAAAUCUGCUGGCUUCCCCCAACUUCACAGGAAGAAAAGCUCCUGAAAUGUUGCUGCCUGUACAUGGGGAAACCCAGGGGCAUAUUAUUUCUACUCGACAUGUCUGCAUGCCUCACAUGUAUAAAUAUGGGAUUUUUGAAAAGGCAGGGAAGGGAGGGCUUUUAUUGCUAAAACAGCAACUAGGAGAUAGCGUUAGCAGAGAGGGCUUUCUGCCCUUGCUUUCAACAGACUUUUAUAAAUAUUUUCUUUGAAUAUUUUUCAACAGCGUUUGUGUCAAAUGGCUUGAUCCAGCUCCUCCUGAAGCCAGUGGGAAUCUUUUCAUUGACCUGAGUGGGAGCUGGAUCAGGUUAAACAAGGACAUAGAUGAUGUGUUUGACCUUGUGUGGGUCCAUUGCUCUACAGUGAGUUUCACUUGGUGGGGUGACAACGAUUUUCUCCCAAGUCUUUCUUCUGUCACUUAAUUUUCACUUUGAUUGUACUGUAAGCUCCAAAACAGCAGUAGGCAAUAUAAGAUAUAUAUUUUUUCCCCCCAGAAUUUGUCUCUGAAGCCGUUGAAGAGACUCUGGAACCUCUGUUGGAAUAUGAAAUGUGAGACUAUGCUCAGGAACAAUAUUGCUGUUCUACACCAGAAUCACAUCCGUUUCCUGCAAUAGCUUUCCUAUAUGGUCUUGGGCAAGUCAGUUUGCUGUUUUGCCUCUGUUCCCUUUCUGUAAGCUGGGGACAAUAGGACUUUCAGGCACCACUGGGGUGUCAGGAGAAUAAGUACAUUAGGGAAGGGGUGUCAAAUUCUCCUAGGCAUCGGGUUUGGAUCUGGACAGUGGGGCAGCUUGUGGGCUGGAUCCAGACAUUUCGGUAGUGAUGGGGCAAGUGGUGGUGAUUGUGGGGGUUAAGGCAGCUGUCACUCACCCCCCGACACCGACGUGCACUCCCAAUGGGGCCCUGUACCCUGGAUUCCAGUGAUGGGCCCUGUCCCUACUUACCUUCUCUCUGAAUUCCUGGUCUCCUUGAGAGCCCUGUAGGCCAGACAACACAACCAAUGGCCAAUCUGUUUGAUAUCCUGGAUUAAGGAAUAUGAAGGUGUUGGUAGCAAGUAUGUUAGUAGCAAGAGGAGGAUCAGGGAAAGUGUGGGUCCUGUACUGAAUGGGGGAGGCAACCUUGUGACAGAGGAUGCAGAAAAGGCUGAAGUGCCCAAUGCCUCUUUCACCUCAGUCUUCACAGGCAAGGUCAGCUCCCAGACUACUGCACUGGGCAGCAGUUUGGGGAGGAGGUAAACAGCCACUAGUGACAAAAGAACAGGUUAGGGACUAUUUAGAAAAGCUGGACAUAUACAAGUCCAUGGGGCCAGAUGGGAUGCACCCAAGGUGCUGAAAGUGUUGGCUGAUGAGAUUGCAGAGCCAUUUGCCAUCAUCUUUGAAAACUCACGGGGAUCAGGAAAAGUCAUGGAUGACUGGAAAAGGGCAGACAUAGCACCCAUAUUUAAGAAUGAGAAUGAAAAGGAGGACCUAGGGAACUACAGACCAGUCAGUCUCACCUCAGUCCCUGGAAAAGUCAUGGAGCAGAUCCUCAAGGAAUCAAUCCAUUUCUAAGCACUUGGAGGAGAAGAAGGUGAUUAGGAACAGUCAGCAUGGAUUCACCAAGGGUGCAGGAAUCCUCCGUGAGUAGUACCACUGAAGUCAACAGAAUGAAGUCAAUUGAAACCACUCAUGGAGCAAGAUGCUAUUUAACCAGAGGAAUGGUGUCAGAAUCUGGCUCUAAACAGACUGUCCCCCUUUGUGAAAGUGUCUUUCGAAGAAGCUCCAUCUGAGUGAAUGGAAAGAACAUUCAUUCAGACUAGUGCAUAAUCACAUGUGAUUACAUGUAAUUACAUUAGCAAUUGAAACUAAGGAUGCAAUGUAAACACUGUAUAGUAGCCAAUCAAUGACUUUUUUGGUCAAUCUGUUUUUUUUUAUACAAGGCAACAACUGAAAAAUAAAUACAGUGCACUGGCCCCAGCACUGAAAUAAAUACAAUGCUAAUUUUU